GCGAUCCACGAAACAUUACCCGGGCCGGGUAUUUCCCCUCCCAAUACUACUUAUUGAUUUACUUCUUUGCGGGGGCCUGCUUAAUUCUUAUCUACUGGAUACUCUACUCUGUACUUAAUUGUAUGGAGUAUCGCCUAGCCAGCGGAGUUGAGGUUAAUUAACUCCUGACUUUGUACCAAGGUGUAAAAUCCUGAAGUAUGAUUAUGGGGUCAAGUUAAUUGAUUAUAAUGGGGUGCCAGUUAAUUUACUUUGAGUAAAUUAAAGUGUUCAAAGCAGCCUCUUGGGGCUUUGAAUAUUUUAUCAUGGGAUAAUGAAAUAGGAUUGGAUUCCUAUUUGUUGGUUUAAUGAUUCCCCUAGUGAUUAAGACCGACGAUUAAGACCACCCCCAUUACGUGGUUAGAAAUGGAAUGUUUUCACCCUAUUAAAAUGAACAACUAACAAAAUCGUUUGCCACAGAUGUUAUCUUUAAUCAAAACCGAAACUUUAGGGGAUCUAACAUAAUUAAAUACCUACGUAA
rnacentral:rRNA from 1 species